rnacentral:rRNA from 1 species
UACGGAGGGUGCGAACGUUAAUCGGAAUCACUGGGCGUAAAGCGCGCGUAGGCGGUUUGUUAAGUGGGAUGUGAAAUCCCCGGGCUUAACCUGGGAAUUGCAUUUCAAACUGGCCGACUAGAGUACGGUAGAGGGAGGUAGAAUUUCCUGUGUAGCGGUGAAAUGCGUAGAUAUAGGAAGGAAUACCAGUGGCGAAGGCGGCCUCCUGGAUCGAUACUGACGCUGAGGCGCGAAAAGCGUGGGGAGCAAACAGG